rnacentral:rRNA from 1 species
GACGAACGCUGGCGGCGUGCCUAAUACAUGCAAGUCGAGCGGACUGAUUAAGAGCUUGCUCUUAUCACGUUAGCGGCGGACGGGUGAGUAACACGUGGGCAACCUGCCCUGUAGAUCGGGAUAACACCGAGAAAUCGGUGCUAAUACCGGGUAAUAUCUGAGAUCACAUGAUCUUAGGUUAAAAGAUGGCUCCGGCUAUCACUACAGGAUGGGCCCGCGGCGCAUUGGCUAGUGGGUAAGGUAAUGGCUUACCAAGGCGACGAUGCGUAGCCGACCUGAGAGGGUGAUCGGCCACACUGGGACGGAGACACGGCCCAGACUCCUACGGGAGGCAGCAGUAGGGAAUCUUCCGCAAUGGACGAAAGUCUGACGGAGCAACGCCGCGUGAGUGAUGAAGGGUUUCGGCUCGUAAAGCUCUGUUGUUAGGGAAGAAACAGUACCGAACGAACUAGGUCGGUACCUUGACGGUACCUAACCAGAAAGCCACGGCUAACUACGUG